UGAUUUUUCAUAAGGGAGAAGAAAGUGAAUUCUGUAAACUGUAAACCAAGAAUCUUGCCCUCAAUUUGAAUCAGGAAUCUAGAAAGAAUUUGUCAAAAGGGUUUUUUAGGGGGUGGGGGCACAUAUACAACAAAUCGUUGAUUACAAAAUUUAGCAUGGGACCACUAGUAACAAGUAGUGUAGCCUAAUCAAUCACUUCUCAGGUAAUUGACUCGAUGACAUUGGACAUUACUGUCCAGCUCUUGAGACUCUCUGCCUUUGAUUUCUAAGACCUUGUCUUGAUCUCUCUUAUCUCCCUGACAAGAGCUUCUCUGUCUCCUUCGCUCUCUUGUCCUUCUCCAAUUUAUUUAUAGGGCAAUCUUCCCCUACCCCCGGAUGGAAUUGAUGGAGAUCCCAUUCUUUUUCUGCUACCUCUUAGAACUUUAGGGACUUAGAAGCUGGACAGUGAUAGUGCUGGACUCACAUAUUCCUGCUUGAUUAGUUCUGCUGUUAUCUUUGAUUAGACUUUUCCACGGGCUGCUUGCACUCAGAUCAAUUCUCAUGGCCCUAGGAGUCGAGAGGGAAAAGAAGUUCCUAUUGAUCAAGAUUUUCAAGCCAAAUCCAGCUUAGGUCAUAUGCCAGGUUUUUCCCCACUCUAAACUUUUAUAUUCUGCUUUGCGAUGCUGGGGCUGGGACUCAGCUAACUACAUUUCUCAGACUCCUUUGCCAGCUGGUGUCUUAUUAAGUUCUACCAAUGGGAGACACUAGAGGACAAGUAGAAGUCAAUAGGAGGAAGGAAAGGAAUUUCUUCCCCUUUUUUCAGUUCCUAUCUCUUUACACCAGCAGCAGAGGAAAGUGACUCCAGCUUCUAGCUUCUUUCUAGCUUCCAGCACUCCCUACGCCAUGUUCCUCAGAGGAACCAGCACCUCCAGGACAUAUCCCCAUGGCAGUUGGAGUAACAGUUGUCCUGCUGCACGUCACCUUCUAGGCUGUAACUUCCAGGCUGUCCAAGGAUCUGCCCAACCAAAUCUCCUCCUCAAAAGUCCACACCCCAGUUGUGAAGAGCUUCCCUCUACAGCUCGGAGCACCAGAUCUACAAGGCCCCCUCCCAUGAAAUCCUGUGUUCCUAACCCUCGCCCUUUUUUUGCUUCUGCAGAUCUAACAGUUGUUAAUGUCCACUUCACAAUUUCAACUUUUCCAUGCUUAUGGAAAGAGUUUCCUGGAUUAACUCCUCUCUCUUUGAAAUACCCAGUGUGCUUUCUGUUUACCUCAUUGGGCCCUGAGUUACACAGGUUGCAGGGCCAAUCACCCAUUGCUGAGGCCAGAGAAUGACCGCAGUUGGUCAAGCCUAGGACUUACGCUCGCUUCUGUCAUUGAGAGCGUGGUCUUUUACUAGAAAAGGGAUAGGUAGGGGUGAUAGCACUGGUGGACAGCUGUGGGGAAAAAUAAUAGUCAUCAGAGUAAAAAACAACUUUGUCUUUUUUCUUGGUAAACUAAGGGAAGGAGGAGGGAGAAGGAUAACUGAAACGGAGGAAGUGAGGUUAAGGAAGAGUUUUGUUAGAGAUGAACAUGCAUGUCUGAGUGCUGAUGGGAUGGGCUAAUAUACAGGAAGAGAUGAAGAGACCAGAGAAAGAAGAAGCAACCGGAUGGUGUUGACCUCAAAAGGGAAUAGGAACCCAGUUUGAGGGGAGGCCUUGAAUACGAGGAAGGACACAUGUGCUGAAACAGGAGUGAAGGAGGCUGCAGUGGAUCCGGAGUAUUUUUAUAGAACACUGUUUUAAUGAAAUGGUGAAACUGGCAGUUCAAGGAAUCUUUUGGACCUGUAUCAUUGCCUUCAGGAAGGCUGUUUGUGCAUGAAGAGAAAAUGGACCACCAUCUGGACUGAAGACUGAAGACCUGGGCUGAACACCUCCACCCAUGAUUCUUCCCCUCCUCCUGAACUCACCCCCUAAUAUCAGCAAACAUUAAGGUCCUUCUCUUUGCAAAGUCAGCAGAAACAGGACAGAAGAGAUACGGAGGCUACAAUUUGUAAGAAUCAACAGAGUAGACAGAUCCACAAUGUGUAGACAGAGCUUGCCACGCCUCUAUGCAAAGCCCCCAGAGGAUCUCCAGCACAUUUAGGACACAUUUAGGAUAAAUCUGGUCAUACUGUGGCCUAUGAGGCCCUAGGUGAUCCAUCAUAUGGCUUCAUUUCUGACCUCGUCAUCUUCUACUAGUUUCCUUCUUGUUCACUCUGCUCCAACCAACUAGGCUCCUUGCUGUUUCUCAAACACUCCAAGCACCCCAACUUCAGAAUGCUUGCACGUUCUGUUUCCUCUAUCUAAAACACCUUUCUCUCAGAUACCCUUAUGGCUCUCUCACUUCUUUCAAGUCUCUGUUCUGACGUCACCAAAUCAUUGAGCCUUUACUGCUCUCCCGAAAUAAAACAACCUACCCAAACUUAUAUGCCAUUUUUUUAAUAGUACUUAUCACUACCUAUUUGUUUAUUUGUUAAUUGUCUGACUCUCCCCACUGGAAUGUAAGCUUCAUGAAAGCAAGGAUUCUAUUGCUUUGGCCACUGCAGAAUCCCCCACACCAUCUGGCACAUAGUAGUGAGUGCUCCAUAAUUAUCCUUUGUUUGGAUGAAUGAAUGUAAUUGUAACAUUCAUUGUGACAUUGUACUAAUAAUUGAUUUGUAAUUAUUGCUGAAUUAUUCAGAGUUCCUUCAGCCUUUUUAUUCUUACAUUAACAUUACUAAACACUUUCCUUUUCUGAAAUAGGUCACGCAUACACACAUGCACAAGUGUUAGAAUCAUUGGUAGAGGGGUAAACAUAGUUAAGAUCACUUUGGUGAUUAAGUGAAGGAUAGAAUUAAGGGAGCUAGAAUUAUAAAUGGACUAUUGUAAUUCAGCCUUUGAAUGAUGAAAUAUUGAAUUAAGCAAGUGGAAAUGGAUAAAGGUGCAUAUUUAAAAAUUUUAGGUAGUAAGAUCAUCAGAAUUUGGGAAAUGUUAAAGCAGAUAGUCAAGGAUGAUUCCAUAUUUUUAGUUCGGGGUGAAUGGUUGAUGAUAAUGCUCCCAAUUGAGAGAGAGAAUACAAGAGGGGAUGAUGUGGAGGUGGGGAUAAUCACCAAGUUAGUUUUAGCAAGACUGACCUGUGGUAAUGGCGAAGAAGACUCCGAGGAAAUAUGACCAGCAGACCAGUGGACGUAUGAGGCUGAAAGUCUUAGUUUAGCUCUUAGUUUUUCCUUUUGGAUUAAUCUUCAUAUUUCUAGAUACUAUGCUUAUGCUAUUUCUUGGGUUAUCAAUUUUACGCAUAUUUUAUUAAUUCCUGUAACGCAAAUGAGAUUUUCACUCUCUUUGUUCAUCUCCUCUUUUAUCAUCCCAGUGUAACUUUAUCACUAUUUUUGGUCAAAUCAACAAUAAUGUUUACAUUAAUGUGGCUAUAUAAAAAGCCUCAGAACCAAGCAGUGUUGUGAUAGCUUAAUUAGCUUUCCUUGUUUGGCCUAAAUUUAGUUUUUCCUUCAGUCAAAUUUACUUAGCUUUUUCAUUUGCUUAGUUUUUAUAGAUAUGCUUCAUUUUUGCAAAUAUUCCACCAUCUAUUACAUUGCUAUCUAUAUUAUUUUCCAAAAUCUCAGACAUGUCAGACAAUGCCUCAAUUCCACAUUUUUUUCUGAAGACCCAACCCUGAACCCUUUGUCCUCUUUUUCUAGUUAACCAGUUGCUUCUGGCCUGCUGAGUGUCUCAUCCUGUUUCUUUAAGCUUCACCAUGAAGGUGGAAUAAUUUUAUCACUCUGCUUUAUUGCGUAUCUUGUUGAACAAGACCUAUUAUUUUCCUCUCUCUUAUUUUAUGCCCUUAUUUUACUGUAGCAAUCCUAUUGUAGCUCCCUGUGAACAAGUAUUUGAGGUCCAUUUUUUUCACUUUCUUUUUUUAGUCCUUGCAUGUCUGAAAAAGUCUUAUUUUAGCCUCACAUUUGAUUGAGAAUUUGCCUAACUAUAAAAUUUUAUCCUGAAAAUAGUCUUCUCUCAAAAUUUAAAAGGUGUGUUUCCACUGAUUUGUGGUGUCUAGUGCUGCACCUGAGAAGUCCAAUGUCAUCUAAUUUUCUUUCUUUUAAUUGUAACUUACUUCUCAUCCCUUCUCUGAAAAAUGUUUUCUUCUUCAUCAUUAAUGUUCCAAAAGUUCACAACAUUAUGAUUUUGAGUUUGUUUUCAUUUUCUAAGCUGGUAUUCAUUAACCUCUUUUCACUAUAUAGGACGUUUUGUUUAUAAUUUAAACAAAAUUCCCCUAUGUUUUUGUUGUUUUAUUUUUCUAAACCUCCUUUUUAUUAGAGAUUGGACCUCCUGGAUUUCUCUGAUUAUUUUACCUUUUCUUUCCUAUUUCUUCACCUGUCUCUUAUUCUACUUUCCAGAAGAUUGUCUUGAGUUUAGCUUUCUUCAGAUACUGAAUUCUUUUCUGUUAGCAUCAUAUGUUUAGUUUCCACAAACUCCUUUUUAUUUAAUGGUUGGUUUAUUUUCAUGACAUUAUCUUCUGUUUUGAGAAUGUCAAGAUUUCUCAUCUGAACAUAUUAAUUAAGGCAGGGGUUUUGCUAAGUGAGGGAUGAGUGAGUAGGAGCAUGGCUGCCGAGGGUGGGCGAGUGAACAAUCUGUGUCUUGGCUAGUCUGCCUAACCCAUGCCACCUACCUUCUCCACUGCUUCUCAGAUAUGAGCCCCUCAGGAGUUUUCACUCCUACUCUCUUUUCACAAAGCUGAACUCCUGAUGCAUUGAAGGCCUAAUUGUGAAAUGAAAAACCUAUACAAUUAGUAGAAUAGGAUGUAGACCUUACAGCGAGGGAGUUUUUAGCAAGAUUUAAAAUCACAAACAAUAUAGAAUUCAUAGUUCUGAUGUCAUAAAAAAGCAAAAUUUCUGUUUCAACUUAAGAUAAUAUUGUAACAUUCUUAUAAACCAAAAUAUUAAGAGUAGUUCUCUCUGGAUGGUGAGAAUGUAUGAUAGUGAAGAAAGAAAACUCAAAAGAAGAUUGACUGAAAUAAAAUUGAGGAAUAAAGGGUCAAGCCUACAUGAGGUCAGAGUGUAAUGAGGUGUAAAUUAAGAUGAGAGAACUCUUGGUGCAGAAGUCAGCGGGAAGAUCACGGGCUAAAUUUUACAGCUAGUAUGGUGCUAAAUGAUGAUAAAGGUUGCCUUGGAAAGGGGUGGAUGGUGACUGAAAUGGAGUAGAACUGAAAAUCAUAGACCAUUGAAUAGGUUAUCUGCACAGUCCCUGUAAUUUUCUAAAAGAUGGGCAAGAGCUGUGGAGAGGGGCAAGACUCUGAGCCGUGUAUCAAAAUCCUCAAUGUCUAAUGAAGGAUUGUCCAAGAAUAAUACGGACUAGAGAGUUGAUAGACCACACCUCUGAGAUUUGCUACUUUAUUCAAAGAAAUAUCCCGUCAUAUUCACCUGUAACUAAAACUGGCUAUUCUUAAAUGGCAGCUCUUAGGAUCAGUCUAAGAAGAAUCAUAUUUUUGACAAAGACUCAUUACAUUGCGUUUAAUCCAACCAUAUUUUUCCUCUGUUUACUUUACCUAUGUAGUAGACAUUUUAGGUAGUGUUGAAAAUCUUCACUUCCUUACUAAACUGACUGUUCUUUAAUAUUUCAACCUCUUGAUUUAUCUGCAUACCUAAUUGUAUCAGUGAAUUCAGGAUAAAGGAAGCUGAAAAGGUGAGGAGAGCCUCUGAGAUAUGACAAGCAACCUUUUAAGCCUCAGAAAUUUUACAGAUCCCUAACUGAUUUACAGAAGUCUUUCAAUUGUUUACAUACCAACUGAUUGUCUUGUCUUCCCCAGGUCUGGCUGACCUACUUCCUGGUUUGAUAAAGAUCGCAUGGGAGCCAAGAAAACACUGGCAAGAUUAGUCAGAUUCAUUCAGAGGAAGUUACUUAAGAACUCAUUUUAUUUAUGUUCCUUUAUAAAUAUUUCCACUCCCACCCUUUACCUAAACCAUUCAUACUCAUCCCUAAAAAAAUCCACCAAAGUUAUAAUGAAAACAAAGUUAUGUUCUCGUUCUC